AAAAAUAUAUUUAUAUAUCGACUAUGUAUAUUAUAUCAGGGAUAAUCUCUUUACGCAGAAGAAAGUUAGAUCAUUCAAAUCCGGGAUACGGAUAACGCACGAAGAACGUGGACAGAUCGCAGAUGACAGAGCGCAGAAUGCGUCCUGCAGUCCACCUUUCCCGCGCCCGCUCCCUUCCUCCCGCCGACUGUUCCUAAUUCCGCCGGUUGCGCGGACGUCAAACAAACAACCGGCAAUUAAAUGCAAAUACGGCUAAUGCGUUCUGGGUCGGAUGUGCAAGUCACCGUGCUCGUUAUGGAGAUCCACCCGCCGGCCAUGUUGUUUCGAGGCCGCGUGUUCUGUUACAUUCCGCGGUCGAUAUCGAUGCGAUGCCGCCGACGCUGACAGCAUCGAAAAAGAGAGAUGCCGCGCUCGGAUAACCCACGUCCAACAAAUACCCGCAAACAGAGCCCGGACCGCGAGCGACUCCGAGGAGAGGAAUUCCUCUUUUGAAUCUCCCUCCCUUUCUCUCUAUCUCUCUUUCUUUCUCUGUCUCGCUCCUUCCUUCUUUCUCCUCGCGCGCCUUCUAGUUCUUUUUUGCCGCGCAGCGCCGCCGUCGCAGAAAAGCGGGUUAUUAAACUAUUACGAAGGCGGCACGGUGUUGAAAGCGGCUCCUCUCUGCUCCUCUCGCCGACUUGCUUCGAAGGAUAAAAGCGGCUGGUAUACAACGAUACCUCGACGAUACGAGAGUAAACGACGUCCAGGAGAAAUGCUAUUGUAGAACGCUCUACAUCUCUUUAACGCGCCGCCGUCGCAGAAAAGCGGGUUAUUAAACUAUUACGAAGGCGGCACGGUGUUGAAAGCGGCUCCUCUCUGCUCCUCUCGCCGACUUGCUUCGAGGGAUAAAAGCGGCUGUAUACACGAUACCUCGACGAUACGAGAGUAAACGACGUCCAGGAGGAAUGCUACUGUAGAAUGCUCUACAUCUCUUUAACGCAAGAUAAAAGAGGAAUUAUUUGAAAGGAAGUUUUUUAAAAUCCUGAAUAAGGAAAACAAUGGAUAAUUUUUGUCGACUGUUUAUUAAUACAUUGCACGCAAAUUUGAACUAACCUCAACCGCUAUAUCGGUGCAAUCUCACCCCCUC